rnacentral:rRNA from 1 species
GAAGAACCUUACCACCCCUUGACAUCCUCGGAACUGCCUGGAGACAGGCAGGUGCCUUCGGGAACCGAGUGACAGGUGCUGCAUGGCUGUUGUCAGCUCGUGUCGUGAGAUGUUGGGUUAAGUCCCGUAACGAGCGCAACCCUUGUCCUUAUUUGCCAGCGGGUCAGGCCGGGAACUCUAGGGAGACUGCCGGUGACAAACCGGAGGAAGGUGGGGAUGACGUCAAGUCAUCAUGGCCCUCACGGGGUGGGCUACAAACGUGCUACAAUGGGCGGCACAGAGGGAUGGGAACCAGCAAUGGCAAGCGAAUCCCAAAAAACCGCUCGUAGUCCGGAUAGGAGUCUGCAACUCGACUCCUUGAAGUCGGAAUCGCUAGUAAUCGCGAAUCAGAA